AGAGUUUGAUUCUGGCUCAGGAUGAACGCUGGCGGCGUGCCUAACACAUGCAAGUCGAGCGAUUACUUCGGUAAAGAGCGGCGGACGGGUGAGUAACGCGUGGGUAACCUGCCUCAUACACAUGGAUAACAUACCGAAAGGUAUGCUAAUACAGGAUAAUAUAAGAGAUUCACAUGGAUUUUUUAUCAAAGCUCCGGCGGUAUGAGAUGGACCCGCGUCUGAUUAGCUAGUUGGUAAGGUAAUGGCUUACCAAGGCGACGAUCAGUAGCCGACCUGAGAGGGUGAUCGGCCACAUUGGAACUGAGACACGGUCCAAACUCCUACGGGAGGCAGCAGUGGGGAAUAUUGCACAAUGGGCGAAAGCCUGAUGCAGCAACGCCGCGUGAGUGAUGAAGGCCUUCGGGUCGUAAAACUCUGUCCUCAAGGAAGAUAAUGACGGUACUUGAGGAGGAAGCCCCGGCUAACUACGUGCCAGCCGCCGC
rnacentral:rRNA from 1 species